GACGAACGCUGGCGGCGUGCUUAACACAUGCAAGUCGAACGGAAAGGCCCUGCAUUUGUGGGGUGCUCGAGUGGCGAACGGGUGAGUAACACGUGAGUAACCUGCCCUUGACUUUGGGAUAACUUCAGGAAACUGGGGCUAAUACCGGAUAGGAGCUCCUGCUGCAUGGUGGGGGUUGGAAAGUUUCGGCGGUUGGGGAUGGACUCGCGGCUUAUCAGCUUGUUGGUGGGGUAGUGGCUUACCAAGGCUUUGACGGGUAGCCGGCCUGGGAGGGUGACCGGCCACAUUGGGACUGAGGUACGGCCCAGACUCCUACGGGAGGCAGCAGGGGGGAAUAUUGCACCAUGGGCGGAAGCCUGAUGCAGGAACGCGGCGUGCGGGAUGACGGCCUUCGGGUUGUAAACCGCGUGCGCCUGUGACGAAGCGUGAGUGACGGUAAUGGGUAAAGAAGCACCGGCUAACUACGUG
rnacentral:rRNA from 1 species